GGCGUCUCCAGAGGCACAGCACGAAGCCACACUGUGUUGACAACUCAUGACACACACUGGGGCUGGUGCUCUCCCAGGCCCCAGCUCAGGGCUCCCCACACCCAUCUGUGUGUCUCCUAGGGAGAACUGACCAUCACGACUGACAUGGAAGAUCUGUCCACGGCUCUCUUCUAUGACACUGUGCCUGAUACGUGGAUGGCCCGGGCCUACCCCUCCAUGAUGGGCCUGGCUGCCUGGUACGCAGAUCUGCUGCUCCGCAUCAGGGAACUUGAGGCCUGGACGACAGACUUUGCCCUGCCCACCACCGUGUGG
rnacentral:sRNA from 1 species